GGGCCGGUAGCUCAGCUGGCAGAGCAGGGGACUUUUAAUCCCAAGGUCGUUGGUUCGAAUCCAACCCGGCCCA
rnacentral:tRNA from 1 species